rnacentral:lncRNA from 1 species
GUCGGGUUGUUAGUGCACUACUACAAAAUGCGGUCUAUUUACUAUACGGUGCAACCAAGAUGAUUGACUGUCUUUGUAUAUUCCAUACAGCGAUCUUGAAGUUUUACGUUUGUUCGUAGUAAAUAUAAAACAAUUAUAAACAAUAAUUUUUUGACAAAUAUGUCUCCAUUCGAACAUGUUGAACGGUCUGUAACCAUCAGUUCCAGGCUGACUACCCUCAAGGUGGGAUUUUC